GACGAACGCUGGCGGCGCGCUUAACACAUGCAAGUCGAGCGAGAACCAGGGCUUCGGCCCUGGGGACAGCGGCGAACGGGUGAGUAACACGUGGGUAAUCUGCCCUCGGCACCGGAAUAGCCCGGGGAAACCCGGAUUAAUGCCGGAUGGCCCACCCGCCUCUCGAGGCGGUUGGAAAAGGUGGCUUCGGCCUCCGGCCGAGGACGAGCCCGCGGCGGAUUAGCUCGUUGGCGGGGUAACGGCCCACCAAGGCGACGAUCCGUAGCUGGUCUGAGAGGACGAUCAGCCACACUGGGACUGAGACACGGCCCAGACUCCUACGGGAGGCAGCAGUGGGGAAUCUUGCGCAAUGGGCGAAAGCCUGACGCAGCGACGCCGCGUGCGGGAAGAAGGCCUUCGGGUUGUAAACCGCUUUCAGGAGGGACGAAGCCACUCGGGUGAACAGCCCAGAGGGUGACGGUACCUCCAGAAGAAGCCCCGGCUAACUACGUGCCAGCCGCCGCUGUAAUAC
rnacentral:rRNA from 1 species